AGUGAACGCUGGCGGCGUGGUUUAGGCAUGCAAGUCGAACGAUACCGCAAGGUAUAGUGGCAAAAGGGUGCGUAACGCGUGAGCAAUCUACCUUUAAGUGGGGAAUAACCCUGGGAAACCUGGGCUAAAACCGCAUAUGACCACGGUUCGGAAUCGAGCUGUGGUAAAAGACGGGGACCGCAAGGCCUGUCGCUUAGAGAUGAGCUCGCGUCCUAUCAGCUUGUUGGCGGGGUAACGGCCCACCAAGGCUUUUGACGGGUAGCUGGUCUGAGAGGAUGGUCAGCCACAUUGGGACUGAGACACUGCCCAGACUCCUACGGGAGGCAG
rnacentral:rRNA from 1 species